rnacentral:rRNA from 1 species
AUGCACGCUGGCGGCGUGCCUAAUACAUGCAAGUCGAGCGAACAGACGAGGAGCUUGCUCCUCUGACGUUAGCGGCGGACGGGUGAGUAACACGUGGAUAACCUACCUAUAAGACUGGGAUAACUUCGGGAAACCGGAGCUAAUACCGGAUAAUAUAUUCAACCGCAUGGUUCAAUAGUGAAAGACGGUUUUGCUGUCACUUAUAGAUGGAUCCGCGCCGCAUUAGCUAGUUGGUAAGGUAACGGCUUACCAAGGCAACGAUGCGUAGCCGACCUGAGAGGGUGAUCGGCCACACUGGAACUGAGACACGGUCCAGACUCCUACGGGAGGCAGCAGUAGGGAAUCUUCCGCAAUGGGCGAAAGCCUGACGGAGCAACGCCGCGUGAGUGAUGAAGGUCUUCGGAUCGUAAAACUCUGUUAUUAGGGAAGAACAAAUGUGUAAGUAACUAUGCACGUCUUGACGGUACCUAAUCAGAAAGCCACGGCUAACUACGUG